rnacentral:rRNA from 1 species
GCAUAUCAAUAAGCGGAGGAAAAGAAACCAACAGGGAUUGCCCUAGUAACGGCGAGUGAAGCGGCAACAGCUCAAAUUUGAAAUCUGGCCUUCGGGUCCGAGUUGUAAUUUGUAGAGGAUGCUUUUGGCGCGGUGCCUUCCGAGUUCCCUGGAACGGGACGCCUUAGAGGGUGAGAGCCCCGUACGGUUGGACACCAAGCCUCUGUAAAGCUCCUUCGACGAGUCGAGUAGUUUGGGAAUGCUGCUCUAAAUGGGAGGUAAAUUUCUUCUAAAGCUAAAUACCGGCCAGAGACCGAUAGCGCACAAGUAGAGUGAUCGAAAGAUGAAAAGCACUUUGAAAAGAGGGUUAAAUAGCACGUGAAAUUGUUGAAAGGGAAGCGUUUACGGCCAGACCUUUUCCUGGCGGAUCAUCUGGUGUUCUCACCAGUGCACUCCGCCAGGUUUAGGCCAGCAUCGGCUCCCGUAGGGGGAUAAAAGCAGUGGGAAAGUAGCUCCCUCGGGAGUGUUAUAGCCCGCUGCACAAUACCCUUACAGGGGCCGAGGACCGCGCUUUUGCAAGGAUGCUGGCGUAAUGGUCGUCAACGACCCGUCUUGAAACACGGACCAAGGAGUCGAACAUUUGUGCGAGUGUUUGGGUGUCAAACCCUCACGCGUAAUGAAAGUGAACGGAGGUGAGAGCCCUCUAGGGGGUGCAUCAUCGACCGAUCCUGAUGUCUUCGGAUGGAUUUGAGUAAGAGCAUAACUGUUCGGACCCGAAAGAUGGUGAACUAUGCGUGGAUAGGGUGAAGCCAGAGGAAACUCUGGUGGAGGCUCGCAGCGGUUCUGACGUGCAAAUCGAUCGUCAAAUCUGCGCAUGGGGGCGAAAGACUUAUCGAACCAUCUAGUAGCUGG